GACGAACGCUGGCGGCGUGCUUAACACAUGCAAGUCGAACGGAAAGGCCUCUUUCGGGGGGUACUCGAGUGGCGAACGGGUGAGUAACACGUGAGUAACCUGCCCUUGACUUUGGGAUAACUUCAGGAAACUGGGGCUAAUACCGGAUAGGAGCUCCUGCCUCAUGGUGGGGGUUGGAAAGUUUCGGCGGUUGGGGAUGGACUCGCGGCUUAUCAGCUUGUUGGUGGGGUAGUGGCUUACCAAGGCCUUGACGGGUAUCCGGCCUGGGAGGGUGACCGGGCACAUUGGGACUGAGAGACGGCCCAGACUCCUAAGGGAGGCAGAAGUGGGGAAUAUUGCACAAUGGGUGGAAGCCUGAUGCAGCAACGCCGUGUGCGGGAUGACGGCCUUCGGGUUGUAAAACGCUUUCGCUCAUGACGAAGCUUUGUGUGACGGUAGUGGGUAAAGAAGCACCGGCUAACUACGUG
rnacentral:rRNA from 1 species